AAGACGAUGAAUUUCUACCACACCGCAUCGGCAUUUAUAUUUCUUUUCUUAAUUGCGUAUCUGCUGUUUGUUGUUCUUUGCUGGUUGGGCAUCUUAUAGGUCAUAUUUGUCGUCUGUCACGCAACAGCCAAACCUAAGAGGGUUAAUUAACGAGAUAACUCGUGCCUGCAAGCAACCAUGGUCAACUCAAACACUGUAACGCCACCUCCAUGUGAAGAUCUGUUUGGCGCAGGCUUAGCGCCUUGACAACGUAAACAAGCGGCUUUAGCCUAACAAAGUGGAGAAUGGGUAACCAUGCAGUGGCAUGACUGUCAGAUGCCCAGACAAAAUGGUUUAUUCAGAGGAGGGACAAUAAAGACACCACCAGUGAUAGUAGUUAUAGACACAAACAGACGAUCUCAGUAUGGGCUGAAUAUUUGUCAAGCAUAUGGGACAUAAUGGAAAGUAGUGGUGAUAUACCAGAACAAAGUGAAAUAAAUGAUUCUAUUUAAUCAGAGGUUAUGGACAAAUCAGUAGUCAGAUAUUCUGAAACUUGUGCUACAUGAAUAUGCUACAUUGCUGUCAUGUGAAGAUCUUGGUUGGAAAAUAACACCGUCAAUUGGCCUGGACUGAAACAUUCAUAGCAAUAUCUCUGUUUUUGUAUAUAGUAAAUAUAGUAGUUCACUAUCAUUAAAAACAAAGAAACAUUUGUUUACUGGAAAA